rnacentral:rRNA from 1 species
GAUGAACGCUGGCGGCGUACCUAAUACAUGCCAGUCGAGCGAACAGACGAGGAGCUUGCUCCUCUGACGUUAGCGGCGGACGGGUGAGUAACACGUGGAUAACCUACCUAUAAGACUGGGAUAACUUCGGGAAACCGGAGCUAAUACCGGAUAAUAUAUUGAACCGCAUGGUUCAAUAGUGAAAGACGGUUUUGCUGUCACUUAUAGAUGGAUCCGCGCCGCAUUAGCUAGUUGGUAAGGUAACGGCUUACCAAGGCAACGAUGCGUAGCCGACCUGAGAGAGUGAUCGGCCACACUGGAACUGAGACACGGUCCAGACUCCUACGGGAGGCAGCAGUAGGGAAUCUUCCGCAAUGGGCGAAAGCUUGACGGAGCAACGCCGCGUGAGUGAUGAAGGUCUUCGGAUCGUAAAACUCUGUUAUUAGGGAAGAACAAAUGUGUAAGUAACUAUGCACGUCUUGACGGUACCUAAUCAGAAAGCCACGGCUAACUACGUG